rnacentral:rRNA from 1 species
GACGAACGCUGGCGGCGUGCCUAAUACAUGCAAGUCGAACGCUUCUUUCCUCCCGAGUGCUUGCACUCAAUUGGAAAGAGGAGUGGCGGACGGGUGAGUAACACGUGGGUAACCUACCCGUCAGAGGGGGAUAACACUUGGAAACAGGUGCUAAUACCGCAUAACAGUUUAUGCCGCAUGGCAUAAGAGUGAAAGGCGCUUUCGGGUGUCGCUGAUGGAUGGACCCGCGGUGCAUUAGCUAGUUGGUGAGGUAACGGCUCACCAAGGCCACGAUGCAUAGCCGACCUGAGAGGGUGAUCGGCCACACUGGGACUGAGACACGGCCCAGACUCCUACGGGAGGCAGCAGUAGGGAAUCUUCGGCAAUGGACGAAAGUCUGACCGAGCAACGCCGCGUGAGUGAAGAAGGUUUUCGGAUCGUAAAACUCUGUUGUUAGAGAAGAACAAGGACGUUAGUAACUGAACGUCCCCUGACGGUAUCUAACCAGAAAGACACGGCUAACUACGUG